CCUACGGGACGCAGCAGUGGGGAAUAUUGCACAAUGGGGGAAACCCUGAUGCAGCGACGCCGCGUGAGCGAUGAAGUAUUUCGGUAUGUAAAGCUCUAUCAGCAGGGAAGAAAAUGACGGUACCUGACUAAGAAGCCCCGGCUAACUACGUGCCAGCAGCCGCGGUAAUACGUAGGGGGCAAGCGUUAUCCGGAUUUACUGGGUGUAAAGGGAGCGUAGGUGGCAGGGCAAGUCAGAUGUGAAAACCCGGGGCUCAACCCUGGGAGUGCAUUUGAAACUGUCCAGCUGGAGUGCAGGAGAGGUAA
rnacentral:rRNA from 1 species